UCUGGUAUUUUUAAAGAGUGAGCAAUCAUAUAAAAGGAAAUAUGGUCAUAACUGAUUGAAGUAAUAAAAUCCCCAAACUAAAUAACAUCUCAUAAUUCAUCACACAGCAUAUAUUAGAUUUCAUUACAUCAGUAUAUAGCUUAGCAGUAAAUUCUCCUGAUAGCCAUAAACCUCUGAGGUGUUGUCAUCCUGAAAAAUGAAGGGGAGGAAGCUGGUGGGGGUACAGAAGGGAUAAAUCUUCCGCUGGUGUGGCACACCAUCAGGUGGAAAAGUUGUAGUGUGUCGCCACCUAAUGGCAUAACUCCUGUCCUUGUUCUAAUACAGGGACUGUUUUUAAAGAGCUGUCUCAUUCACCUUGUCAUUGUAUUCUUCUCUGAUGCUACAGUUCCAAAACUGAGGGCUGCCCAUCGUGUGUUAACAGAUCUACUCUUUAUCUACCAGGCUGUCAAGCAUUUGGUUAUGACACUUUUUAUGUUCACCUAAUUUUUAAAUUCCAAGUACUUCGGUAACUUUCAAAGCCACACACAAGAUGUCUAUAUAUAUAUAUAUAUAUUUUUUUGGUACUGGGGAUAGAACUCGGAAACUUGUGCUUGUGAGGCAGGCACCAGAACCACUGAGCUAAAUCCCCAGCCCUAAGAUGUCUAUAUUUUAAAAACACCAUACUGAUUGUGAAUUUGGGAUGCCUAUUAUGGCUAUAGGAACUCCGGGCUUUGGCUCAGUUUCUAUUCUAUUUUUGGAUCUUUUUAGCAUGUCAGAAUUAACACAUAGCUGAUGCAUUAAAAGUGGGUCCUCAAACAGCUACAUGAAAUUAUCACAGUCUACAUUUUGGAUUUUACUAAGGUUCUAGAAUUUUAAAAUGGCCAAAGGUGCAGCUAGUGAAGAUUUCUUAAUUAGCAUUUUGGUACCAUACAUAAUCACACAAAGUAGAUGAUGAGAACUUAGUUCAGGAAUGUUAUUAAAUAUUUCUGAGAGACGUGGAAUUUGGAACUGGGGGAGAAGGGCUGAGGCCCCACUGUGCUUUACUCUGCUACACCUUGACAACACAUAGACUAAGUGAUUCUAUGAAGUGCACUAGAACAGUGAACAUAAGCCAGGUAGCUCUACUUUGUAGAUGGAAUUGCAAAGUACAGUUAAAAAGAAAAUAAUAAGGCCUGGGGAUUUAGCUCAGUGGUUCUGCCCCCUGCUUUGCAAGCACAAGGUCCCGAGUUCAAUCCCCGUACCAAAAAAAAAAAAAAAAAACACAAAAAACUAGAACAUGAGCUACUUCUCAAUAAAGCACUCUAUCUUCCUUCAAGGUCUACAAAAAGCAUAUAUUCAAACCCUAGACCAAUCUCAAGUUUUGAACAAAAGAUACCAAACACUUUAAAGC
rnacentral:lncRNA from 1 species